rnacentral:rRNA from 1 species
GCAGCCGCGGUAAUUCCAGCUCCAAUAGCGUAUAUUAAAGUUGUUGUGGUUAAAAAGCUCGUAGUUGGAUCUCAACAGCCUUGAAGCGGUUAACUUUGUAGUUUUACUGCUUUAUAGGCUGUGCUUUUGCUGGAGGUUUAGGGGUGCUCUUGAUCGAGUGUCUCUGGAUGCCAGCAGGUUUACUUUGAAAAAAUUAGAGUGCUCAAAGCAGGCUAAAAUGCCUGAAUAUUCGUGCAUGGAAUAAUAGAAUAGGAUGUCGAUCCUAUUUUGUUGGUUUUCGGGACUCGACAUAAUGAUAAAUAGGGACAGUCGGGGGCAUUUGUAUUCAAACGACAGAGGUGAAAUUCUUGGACCGUUUGAAGACAAACUACUGCGAAAGCAUUUGCCAAGAAUGUUUUCAUUAAUCAAGAACGAAAGUCAGAGGUUCGAAGACGAUCAGAUACCGUCGUAGUUCUGACCAUAAACGAUGCCAGCUCGGGAUUCGUCGGAGUUGUUGAGAUGACUCGACGAGCACCGUCCGGGAAACCAAAGCUUUUGGGUUCCGGGGGAAGUAUGGUUGCAAAGCUGAAACUUAAAGGAAUUGACGGAAGGGCACCACCAGGAGUGGAGCCUGCGGCUUAAUUUGACUCAACACGGGGAAACUUAUCAGGGCAAGACACCGUAAGGAUUGACAGAUUGAGAGCUCUUUCUUGAUUCGGUGGGUGGUGGUGCAUGGCCGUUCUUAGUUGGUGGAGCGAUUUGUCUGGUUAAUUCCGAUAACGAACGAGACUCUAGCCUGCUAAAUAGUCGGGUGGAUUCUUCGGAGUCCAUCUCAUUCAAGACUUCUUAGAGGGACUAGCGGCGUUUAGCCGCACGAGAUUGAGCAAUAACAGGUCUGUGAU